GAGGGUAUAGCUCAAGCAGUAGAGCGCCUGCUUAGCAAGCACGAGGUCCCUGGGUGUAAUCCCUGGUACCUCCU
rnacentral:tRNA from 1 species